UUAGUUUAAUGAAACUAAUUAAAGAGAUAAAAGAAAAAUAAUUAUUUGUGAAUAAUUAUGAAAGGCCAUAGAUGUGGAAUGAACCUUGAAUUUAUUUCAAGUGUUUUCCUGAAUCGAACCCGAUAGAGUAGGUUCGUAAUUCUCGAAGAGUCGAGAAUGAGAAGGAAUUGUGAAUCGGUUACGUUGAAAUAACGACCGAAAAGGAUAGUGUUUUGUGAAAAGUUUUUAAUGUGAUGAUUGUUUGUAUACGAUAUGAUAUCGUAUUUAUGUGGCUACGUGUUUAGAGGUCGGUAAUAGAUUUAGAAUUCUAUUUUUGAGAUCGACUUAACACGAUUCCUGAAUAUAGAUGUGACGGAAAGUCAACUAUUGACGGAUCAAAUUGAAGGAGCACCGGUUGGAAUAGACCGAGUGGCUAAUAGUGGAUCAUCGUGGCGUAUUUAAUUAUUUAUGGAGCGACAGUCUGAAUAUUGCCUGUGUCUGGACGAGACUUCAUCUUUUUGAUUCAUGAAGUCUUCGUUUUGCGUAUAUGGUAUUUGGUCUUAUCUUGAUCUGUAGAGCUGCAGUAGAAUAGAUAGACAGACGCCUUAGCAUGUCAGUAUUUGCGAUGUUUGCCACGCAUGAACUCUGUUUUGUUUUCAUCGCACGAUUAUAAUAUAUUUUAACGACAUGCAUUAAAGUAUUGGAAAAUAGUUGCAACCCGGGUACACGGUAGUACCGAGAGUUUUGAGAUACAGUGUAAAGAAAACUGUACGCAACUAUGUUAUGUGUAUAAUGUGGGGCCCAACGUGGCUAUAUGCAUGAUUGCAUGUUAUCGGUUUUGUAAAAGACGGUAUUCGAGGAAUACGCGUUAAAACGAUAACUAGUAAUUGAAAAGUAACGGUUUUAAUUUAA